UACGUAGGGUGGCAAGCGUUGUCCGGAAUUAUUGGGCGUAAAGAGCUCGUAGGCGGUUUGUUGCGUCGGCUGUGAAAUCCCGAGGCUCAACCUCGGGUCUGCAGUCGAUACGAGCAAACUAGAGUGUUGCAGGGGAGACUGGAAUUCCUGGUGUAGCGGUGAAAUGCGCAGAUAUCAGGAGGGAACACCGGUGGGCGAAGGCGGGUC
rnacentral:rRNA from 1 species